UACGUAGGGGGCAAGCGUUGUCCGGAUUUAUUGGGCGUAAAGAGCGUGUAGGCGGCCAGGUAGGUCUGCUGUGAAAACUCGAGGCUCAACCUCGAGACGUCGGCGGAAACCAUCUGGCUAGAGUCCGGAAGAGGAGAGUGGAAUUCCUGGUGUAGCGGUGAAAUGCGCAGAUAUCAGGAAGAACACCCGUGGCGAAGGCGGCUCUCUGGGGACGGUACUGACGCUGAGACGCGAAAGCGUGGGAGCGAACAGG
rnacentral:rRNA from 1 species